UACAGAGGGGGCAAGCGUUAUUCGGAAUUAUUGGGCGUAACGGGCGCGUAGGCGGCUUGGCAAGUGGCUGGUGAAAUCCCUCGGCUUAACCGAGGAACUGCCGUCCAAACUGCUUUGCUUGAGGCCGGGAGAGGCGAGUGGAAUUCCCAGUGUAGCGGUGAAAUGCGUAGAUAUUGGGAGGAACACCAGUGGCGAAGGCGGCUCGCUGGACCGGUUCUGACGCUGAUGCGCGAAAGCGUGGGGAGCAAACGGG
rnacentral:rRNA from 1 species